GUCCACAGCCAUACCACCCUGAACUCGCCCAAUCUUGUCUGAUCUCAGAAGCUAAGCAGGGUCGGGCCUGGUUAGUACUUGGAUG
rnacentral:rRNA from 1 species